AGUACAGGUGGUGCAUGGCUGUCGUCAGCUCGUGUCGUGAGAUGUUGGGUUAAGUCCCGCAACGAGCGCAACCCUUAUUCUUAGUGUUUCCCUUUGGGAUUACCCUCUAAGAAGACUGCCUCGGAUAACGGGGAGGAAGUGGGAUGACGUCAAGUCCGCAUGCUCCUUACGUCUAGGGCUACACACGUCCUACAAUGGGGUCGACAAUGGGAUGCAAUAUCGCAAGAUGGAGCCAAUCCCCAAACGGCCUCUCAGUUCGGAUUGUAGUCUGCAACUCGACUACAUGGAGUUGGAAUCGCUAGUAAUGGCAGAUCAGCAUGCUGCCGUGAAUACGUUCCCGGGUCUU
rnacentral:rRNA from 1 species